rnacentral:scRNA from 1 species
AUUUACGUAGGCUGGCAGCGCCUUCUCGACAA